UACGUAGGCAGCAGGCGUUGUUCGGAAUUACUGGGCGUAAAGGGUGCGUAGGCGGCUUUUUAAGUUUGGUGUGAAAUCUCCCGGCUCAACUGGGAGGGUGCGCCGAAUACUGAGAAGCUAGAGUGUGGGAGAGGAAAGUGGAAUUCCUGGUGUAGCGGUGAAAUGCGUAGAUAUCAGGAGGAACACCGGUGGUGUAAACGGCUUUCUGGACCAUAACUGACGCUGAGGCACGAAAGCGUGGGUAGCAAACAGG
rnacentral:rRNA from 1 species